rnacentral:rRNA from 1 species
AGAGUUUGAUCCUGGCUCAGAAUGAACGCUGGCGGCGUGCUUAACACAUGCAAGUCGAGCGAGAAAGUUCCUUCGGGAAUGAGUACAGCGGCGGACGGGUGAGUAACACGUGAGAACCUACCCUUUAGUGGAGAAUACUCUCGAGAAAUCGAGCUUAAUACUGCAUAAGUCCCUUCGGGGAGAAAGGCGUCUUUUAUGUCGCCGCUAGGGGAUGGGCUUGCGGGCUAUCAGCUUGUUGGUGAGGUAAUGGCUCACCAAGGCGAUGACGGCUAACCGGCCUGAGAGGGUGAUCGGUCACAUUGGCACUGAGAUACGGGCCAGACUCCUACGGGAGGCAGCAGUGGGGAAUAUUGCGCAAUGGGCGAAAGCCUGACGCAGCGACGCCGCGUGGAGGAUGAAGGUCUUAGGAUUGUAAACUCCUGUCAGGUGGGAAGAAAAGCUUAUUUCUAAUAAAUAUAGGCAAUGACUGUACCAUCAGAGGAAGCACUGGCUAACCUCGUGCCAGCAGCCGCGGUAAUACGAGGGGUGCAAGCGUUAUUCGGAAUCAUUGGGCGUAAAGGGUGCGUAGACGGCGCGUUAAGUUUAUUGUUUAAGACUCCAGCCUAACUGGAGAAAUGCGAUGAAAACUGGCGUGCUAGAGGGUGAGAGAGAGAAGUGGAAUUCCCGGAGUAGCGGUAAAAUGCGUGGAUCUCGGGAGGAACACCAAUGGCGAAGGCAGCUUCUUGGCUCAUUCCAGACGUUGAGGCACGAAAGCGUGGGGAGCAAACAGGAUUAGAUACCCUGGUAGUCCACGCCGUAAACGAUAAUCACUAGACGUUAGUCCGGUUUACUGGAUUAGUGUCGUAGCUAACGCGUUAAGUGAUUCGCCUGGGGAGUACGGUCGCAAGGCUAAAACUUAAAAGAAUUGACGGGGGUCCGAACAAGCGGUGGAACAUGUGGUUUAAUUCGACACUACGCGAGAAACCUUACCUGGGUUUGACAUGUGCGUGACCGCUGUGGAAACAUAGUUUUCUGGGCUUCGGUCCAGACACGUACACAGGUGCUGCAUGGUUGUCGUCAGCUCGUGUCGUGAGAUGUUGGGUUAAGUCCUCUAACGAGCGCAACCCCUGCCAUCAGUUGCAAUUGCCUUCGGGUUAAGCACUCUGUUGGGACUGCCCGGGAAACCGGGAGGAAGGUGGGGAUGACGUCAAAUCAUCAUGGUCCUUAUGUCCAGGGCUACACACGUGUUACAAUGGGUGAUACAAAGAGCUGCGAACCCGCGAGGGUGAGCUAAUCCCAAAAAGUUGGUCUAAGUUCGGAUUGCAGUCUGCAACUCGACUGCAUGAAGUCGGAAUCGCUAGUAAUCGUAGAUCAGCCAUGCUACGGUGAAUACGUUCCCGGGCCUUGUACACACCGCCCGUCACGCCAUGGAAGCCGGGAGUGCCCGAAGUCCGUGACCGAACCCUCUGGGGCGGAGCGGCCGAAGGCAAAUUCGGUAACUGGGGCGAAGUCGUAACAAGGUAACCGUA